ensembl:rRNA 5S_rRNA 5S ribosomal RNA
GCUUGUGGUCAUACCACCCUGAGCAUGCCCGAUCUUCUGAUCUCUGAAGCUAAGCAGGGUUGGGCUUGGUUAGUACUCGGAUGGGAGACUACCUGGGAAUACCAGGUGCUGUAAGCU